rnacentral:rRNA from 1 species
UACGUAGGGUGCAAGCGUUGUCCGGAAUUAUUGGGCGUAAAGAGCUCGUAGGCGGUCUGUCGCGUCUGCUGUGAAAACUCAGGGCUUAACCCUGAGCUUGCAGUGGGUACGGGCAGACUAGAGUGCGGUAGGGGAGACUGGAAUUCCUGGUGUAGCGGUGAAAUGCGCAGAUAUCAGGAGGAACACCGGUGGCGAAGGCGGUGCUCUGGGCCGGAACUGACGCUGAGGAGCGAAAGCGUGGGGAGCGAACAGG